CUCUGACCUCCCUCAGCUGACCCACAUUGACCCUGAACCUUACACCACCCACUACACAGCGUGACGCCACGGAAACCGUAGACCGUGUAACAACUGGUAAACCGGAGUCACAGCUGGUGAAACGAACCGUAAAGAUUACUUAAUGUCGGGUUCUGUGAGGAACCGUUGUUACAGCAGGACGGAGGAGCGCCAGGUACAGCGGACUGGAGCUGCAGGUCUGGACUUGACCCGGCGUCUCAGACCAGAGGAACAAAGACUCUCCCCUCGGUUUAAUUCCAGUUAAUCAGAAGCAGACUUCAGACAACAUCCACCUGGAGGACAAUCUGCAGGU